rnacentral:lncRNA from 1 species
GGUAGGAACAAUUUCAAGAGAAAAUGUGAGCAGUGGUUCUCAGUUUUGAAUUUUGUCCAAGAGCUUCAGACCAAGUUGCCCCUCAGGCCUACAAAAGUGAAAACAGAAACUUUGCUUCAGAGGGUAGGUGGCAAGAAAAACAGACACAAGUCAAAGCAGGCUCAUAAAUGGAUGGCAGGUUGGGUUAUUUAGCUUCUCUCAGAAGGGAUGGUGGCCACAUGACACGUGCUCUUAGAAUCCUUGCAAAAACUCCUGCAGCUGGGUGACAAUCUCUGUGUCCACCGUUUCCAUGAGAGACUGGAAGCCUUGCUCCCCCAGGAUCUCCUGCUGUGCCUUGAGCUUCUCAUAGAUGAACUGCUGCAGAGACACUGUGUGCACAGGAUCCUUCAGGGCCAGCUGUGGGACAGAGGACAGACAAGGUCAGAAAGACAGACAAUCCUCCUACACGCGCCUCACUGGGCUCUGUAAUCUCUCCACAGGGACACUUCUAAGAGCCUCCUGCAGACAGUGUUUGGGGGCUCUGAGGUGUUGCUCUGAUGUGCAGUUUCUCAAGGGAACACAUCCUUUAAAAGUGCUAGAAUCUAGUAGAAAGGAGGAGAAUGAAGGCAUCGAUGCGACCGAAGACUGCUCUCCUAAGGACAGUCAGAUUCCAUGGCGGCAGCAGCCCCACCCCCACCCCCACCCCCAGCAAGUGCACACUAUUUGCUCUAGCUUACACUGCAACCAUGUUUUUAGGUUGGGGCAGGGAGUGUCGAAUUUUGUUUUUCCCCCAGUCCCAUUACAGUAUUUAGAAAAUCAAAGAAAAAUUAAAUUUUCAGUAUUUUUAUGCUAUAUUUUUUUUAACCUGUUAAACAUAUGUAAAAGAGGCCACAAUUUAAACAAUUCUAUCUAUAACUUUGCUGGGCAUACCACACUGUUUUGGGCUCCUGUGUAAGCAGCCUUUCUUUACAUUUCAGCUUCUUCCCUUUUGUUUGGAACAGUUCUCUGGCAGUCAAGGUUAGCCCAUACUAGGAACUGUGUAGCUCCUGUGCCUUGGGCUGUUGCUUUCACCUCCAAGCACUGGGCUGCAGGCGUGUGCCACUAUAGGCGUGUGCCAUUAUAGGCCUGUGCCACUAUGCUCAGAAUGCCAUCUUGGUUUCCUAGGAUAUCAAAAGAACUACUAGGGCAUAGAACAUUUAUGACUUCUAAUAUAUACCAUCAGCUUACUUCCCCUAUGGUUUGUACCAAUAUAAGAGAUAUAACAGUAUUUAGUUGCUAGCACUGUGUUGCCACUGUUAUUAUUUAAAUGACUUAUAAUAACAACAUAGAAUUAGUAUAAGCUGAGCAUUUAUCUCACCAUCAGUGACUCUGAACAUCUGCAUAACUUUCAAUAAAGUAUGUGAAUGUCUUUGCCCAAUGU